GACGAACGCUGGCGGCGUGCCUAAUACAUGCAAGUCGAACGAGAGCGACCGGUGCUUGCACUGGUCAAUCUAGUGGCGAACGGGUGAGUAACACGUGGGUAACCUGCCCAUCAGAGGGGGAUAACAUUCGGAAACGGAUGCUAAAACCGCAUAGGUCUUCGAACCGCAUGGUUUGUAGGGGAAAAGAGGCGCAAGCUUCUGCUGAUGGAUGGACCCGCGGUGCAUUAGCUAGUUGGUGAGGUAACGGCUUACCAAGGCCGUGAUGCAUAGCCGACCUGAGAGGGUGAUCGGCCACAUGGGAACCGAGACACGGCCCAAACUCCUACGGGAGGCAGCAGUAGGGAAUCUUCCGCAAUGGACGCAAGUCUGACGGAGCAACGCCGCGUGAGUGAAGAAGGUUUUCGGAUCGUAAAACUCUGUUGUUAGAGAAGAACAAGUGCUAGAGUAACUGUUAGCGCCUUGACGGUAUCUAACCAGAAAGCCACGGCUAACUACGUG
rnacentral:rRNA from 1 species